rnacentral:misc_RNA from 1 species
AAGUCGUAACAAGGUUUCCGUAGGUGAACCUGCGGAAGGAUCAUUAGUGAAUGCUAGUACUAUGUACUAUGGCAGCAUGUUUUGUCCCAACCUGUGGUUAUGGAUGGCAUUGUGUGAGAUUGACUGACCAAAUGUGGCUAAUACAAAACGACACAACUUUCAACAACGGAUCUCUUGGCUCUCAU